rnacentral:rRNA from 1 species
AUUGAACGCUGGCGGCAUGCCUUACACAUGCAAGUCGAACGGCAGCACGGGAGCAAUCCUGGUGGCGAGUGGCGAACGGGUGAGUAAUAUAUCGGAACGUGCCCAGUCGUGGGGAUAACGCAGCGAAAGCUGUGCUAAUACCGCAUACGAUCUCUGGAUGAAAGCGGGGACUCGCAAGAGCCUCGCGCGAUUGGAGCGGCCGAUAUCAGAUUAGCUAGUUGGUGGGGUAAAAGCCCACCAAGGCGACGAUCUGUAGCUGGUCUGAGAGGACGACCAGCCACACUGGAACUGAGACACGGUCCAGACUCCUACGGGAGGCAGCAGUGGGGAAUUUUGGACAAUGGGCGGCCAAGACCUGAUCCAGCGAAUGCCGCGUGCAGGAUGAAGGCCCUCGGUU